GCAAGACUGUAGGGCAGUGGUUCUGAACCUUCUUAAUGCCGUGCCUUUAAUACAAUUCCUCAUGUUGUGGUGACCCCAACCAUAAAACUAUUUAAUUGCUACUUCACAACUGUAAUUUUGCUACUGUUGUGAAUUGUAAUGUAAAUAUCUGA